UGUUUAACUGACAUGAUUGUGGGACGUCCUACCGGUGGACUUAGCUUCUUUCUCUUCGGAGGAGCGGCGGUCCAGCUAAUAUCCCAUCGCGGUGCUUUUCAUCGAGUGUCGAGGUGGGCCGGUACGUUUACUUUGAACAAAUUAGAGUGCUCAAAGCAGGCCAUUCUCGCCUGAAUACUGUGUGCAUGGAAUAAUGGAAUAGGAAACCUCACCAGGCCCGGACACCGGAAGGAUUGACAGAUUGAUAGCUCUUUCUUGAUUCGGUGGGUGGUGGUGCAUGGCCGUUCUUAGUUGGUGGAGCGAUUUGUCUGGUUAAUUCCGAUAACGAACGAGACUCUAGCCUGCUAAAUAGGCGUUACUUCUGGUAUCUCGAAGGCCCUCGGCUUCGGUCGGGCGGUUUUUACUACCGACGUACUAACAAAUCUUCUUAGAGGGACAGGCGGCGUCUAGCCGCACGAGAUUGAGCAAUAACAGGUCUGUAAUGCCCUUAGAUGUUCUGGGCCGCACGCGCGCUACACUGAAGGAAUCAGCGUGUCCUCCCUGACCGAAAGGCCCGGGUAACCCGCUGAACCUCCUUCGUGCUAGGGAUUGGGGCUUGCAAUUAUUCCCCAUGAACGAGGAAUUCCCAGUAAGCGCGAGUCAUAAGCUCGCGUUGAUUACGUCCCUGCCCUUUGUACACACCGCCCGUCGCUACUACCGAUUGAAUGAUUUAGUGAGGUCUUCGGACUGGUGCGCGGUAAUGUAAUUCCUACGUUGCCGAUUGCGCCGGGAAGAUGACCAAACUUGAUCAUUUAGAGGAAGUAAAAGUCGUAAAAAAGUUUCCGUAGGUGA
rnacentral:rRNA from 1 species